GCGUCACACAGCAGGGCCUGGGAGGCAGGCUAAAAUGGGGACAGUCUGUGUUUACCACAGCAGUAAAGUGUGGUCAAGCACUCAGCCGCCACUGCACUGGAGCAUGAGGCUCACAGCAGAAGCGGCAGAGUCAACCCAAAGGAGACGCCUGACGACCAGACAGGAGGGGUGGCUGGAAGGCACAGUGAGCCAGAGUAUGGGGCAGGGGGGCGUCCUAGAGGAAGGUGGGCAGUGGGAGAGAAGAUAGUUUAAGACAAGAGGACACUUAGCUGGAAGACCUUGAGUUCCAUGGAGAUUCUGGAGAGCAGGACCAAGAGGCAGGGCUGGGGAGAAGGGUCCAGAAAGCCACACCCACCUUGCCCCAAGACCUCCAAUGGCUCAUUGCCCCUCCUAAGUGCUCACGCCCAUCCAUCACCCUUUCCCCUCUCCCUGCUUUAUUUUACUGGAUCAUAUACUUUGUCUCAUCUUUAGCAGUUCCUUGCACAUAGCGGGCACCAAGUUAACACGUGUUAAAUAAGUGAAUUUAGGAGCUGUCUGGAGAGAGUACAGUUGUUGCCACAGAAAGUGGAACACUUGUGGAGGGUGUCCACAUGAAUUCUAUACUUAUCAGAACCAUAUGGCUACCAUCCCACCUAGGCGACAGCCAGCAGGGCCAUUGCACAUGAAUUGGGCAGGGCAACACAGUCAUACCUCAGCUUCAAGACCUGCCAUUUUAUAGGCAAGGAAAAGUAUCAGAGCCAAUUCUAAGAGCAGCGGGCAUGGGGAAAAAAAAAUUAAGCCGCUUACAGCCAACUUCAAGACUUCCCUGGUGGCUCAGACGGUAAAGCGUCUGCCUACAGUCGGGAGACCUGGGUUUGAUCCCUGGGUCGGAAAGAUCCCCUGGAGAAGGAAAUGGCAACCCACUCCAAUAUUCUUGCCUGGAAAAUGCCAUGGAUGGAGGAGCCUGGUGGGCUACAGUCCAUGGGGUCACAAAGAGUCGGACAUGACUGACUUCACUUUCACAGCCAACCUCAAAUGACAACAUGAAAGAGGACGUGGGGACCCCACAGUUCUCAGUGCUUCAGCAGGGGCUCGCCCUGUAAGCUGCGGCCCACAGAAAGUUGAUGAUGCGAUCAGAGAGUCCACGGCAAUGUCUGAUCCCUUGUGACACAAGUAUUUAUAUUUAAAAGUCCUUGUAAAGUUUAAGAUAUUUAAGUAGAUAAAGUCAUCAUCCUUCCUACUCUUGGUUACACUUCAUGCCCAUUUAACCCUUCAGGCCACAGCCCAGCCUGUGGGCAGAGGUGAUGCUGCUAAGCUUCUUCUGAGCAUCCAGGAUCAAACUGUCAGGCUACUCUUUUUCUGAGUGACACUCACUCCUGUCUGACAGGACUUCUGACUCCUCGGAUCACAGCCGAAAUAAAACUUAGCUCGUCAGCCGCUCACCUACAGACUCAAGAAAACCCCUCUU
rnacentral:lncRNA from 1 species